rnacentral:rRNA from 1 species
GAAUAUUGGACAAUGGGGGGAACCCUGACCCAGCCAUGCCGCGUGUGUGAAGAAGGCCUUUUGGUUGUAAAGCACUUUAAGCGAGGAGGAGGCUACUUAGAUUACUACUCUAUGAUAGUCGACGUUACUCGCAGAAUACGCACCGCCUAACUACGUGCCAGCAGCUGCGGUAAUACAGAGGGUGCAAGCUUUAAUCGGAUUUACUGGACGUAAAGCGCGCGUAGGUGGCCAAUUAAGUCAAAUGUGAAAUCCCCGAGCUUAACUUGGGAAUUGCAUUCGAUACUGGUUGGCUAGAGUAUGGGAGAGGAUGGUAGAAUUCCAGGUGUAGCGGUGAAAUGCGUAGAGAUCUGGAGGAAUACCGAUGGCGAAGGCAGCCAUCUGGCCUAAUACUGACACUGAGGUGCGAAAGCAUGGGGAGCAAACA